CCCGGUGAUGAUACAGAGUACGGACACCCUACCUUGCGGCUGCACAGCAUAAAGGAAUUUUUGUUUCAUUGUUUUCUUUCAUGCUUGAAAGCGGAAGUCUUCAGCAUCUCAGAGUGGUCACCAACCCUGCAAUUCUUUUCUCCAAAUCUAACUGGUUGAGUGUUAACUUAGGAGGACAGGAGCCCUUGAACCACACCUCAGGACUACCUGGCCCGAAAGGCUCAUAGCCGUUCCUGUCCAAAUUCCUGCUGGUUUGGUUGCAGUUCAAGUAGCUGACCAUACCAGAUGCCCCUCUGCCGACCAUUCCUGAUUGUCCCUGUCUUCGUCCAUCUGGUCAUGCAGCAGACUUGGAUUAUGUUUUAUAGACUCUGGACAAAGCCCACAUGCAUUUAUUAAUUAUAAAAAUGUGUACUCUUAAAAUUUUCCUCUCUAGGUCUCUAGAAGAGAACUAGCCACCCCUCAGAGCCUGGUUCCUCUCUAGGUUUCUUUUUAAAUUUCAUUCCUUUUAGGGAGUUUUUCCUAGCCACUUGUUGCUUGCUCUUUGGGGUGUCAGGCUGGGUGUUUAGUAUACGCACUUUGUUACAACUGCUGAAGUAAAAAUGGCUUUAUAAAAUCCAUUUGAUUGAUUGAUCACAAAAUGCUUGCAGUAGGCCAUCAGUUUUAUCUUGCAUCUGACUACAGAGGUGGUUGCAGAGUACAUUCCAUGACUGCAGACAGUACAGAGCAUGCUGCAAACCAUAAUACUCAUGUUGAGGACUUUUCACGUCAUCCUCUUCCUGAAUGCUCCGGGAAGUGUGUGGUCUCAGUUGGACAUCAUUCUCGAUCCUCAUUUUCACUCGCCUCAUGUUGUGACACAUAUUUGUGUUUGUUAAUUUCUAGUAAUAUCCCUUGUUUUUCAUAACUAAGUUGUGAUAGUUUCAUUUAUUAAUUUAUGUAUGUGUAUAACAGUUUAUUAUUCUGUUUAAAUGUAAACAGAAUAAUUUAGCCUAGUUUGUACAAUUCUUAAAAUUCUCUCCACAGGUUGCUUUGGGAAAGCAGUGCAUGGAAAGGCUAUGAUUUUCACCUUAUAAUGGUGUUAUUCAUGGCUAAUUGGGUGCGAGAAUUCAGUGCCCAGAUAAAGCCCCGCCUCCAUGCCAAUACGAAGAUGGGCAAUGACUUGAACGAAGAUGGGAAGAAAUUGUAAUCAUAAGAAGAAGCGAACGGAUCAGAUGCGAAAAUCCAUUUAAUGAUUUUGCAAUACAC